UAAGGAAUAUUGCUCAAUGGGAGAAAUCCUGAAGCAGCAACGCCGCGUGGAGGAUGAAGGGUCUAUGACUUGUAAACUCCUGUAAAGAAGGAAAAAAUUCCCAUUAGAUGGGAGAUGAUGGUACUUCUGGAGUAAGCCCCGGCUAACUACGUGCCAGCAGCCGCGGUAAUACGUAGGGGGCAAGCGUUGUCCGGAUUUACUGGGUGUAAAGGGUGCUCAGGCGGAUUUGUAAGUCAGAGGUGAAAUCUUACAGCUUAACUGUGAAACUGCCUUUGAUACUGCAAGCCUAGAGUAUGGAAGAGAGCGAUGGAAUAUCAGGUGUAGCAGUGAAAUGCGUAGAUAUCAGAUAGAACACCAAUGGCGAAGGCAGUCACUUGGUCCAUUACUGACGCUAAAGCACGAAAGCGUGGGUAGCAAACA
rnacentral:rRNA from 1 species